rnacentral:tRNA from 1 species
AGCUAGGUGGCCCAGAGGAUAGAGCAUCAGACUUGAAAUCAGGAAGACCUGGGUUCAGACACUUCCUAGCUG